UCCUCUCUAUGAGUAACAGUGAGAAGUGCUUGAACAAUUUCCUGGAAAUAUGGAGUCAGUGGCGAUGAUGGGCCCACCACUUCAUAACCCUGGGCAAGAAAAUAAAGGGCGCCACAUGCCUUCUCUGCUACAUUUGGAGCAUCUUUCAUGCUCUGAAGCAGUACAGUGAUGAUCUGUUGGCAAUUUGCCCGAGUAAUUAUGGGUGCAUCCAUGGUUGAGCCAUGAAGAAAUUCAAAGAUCCGUCCAAGGGUCCAUGCAGUAGUGUCCUUGACAUGGUUAUUUGGAUCCUUUGUCAAAGCACUGAGCAUGAAAUUCAAGGCAACAUUAACAAUAGGAAUUAACUUGUCAGGGGAAGGACCCUCCAAGAUUGAGCCAAAGGCAUAAGUUGCUGCCUCUCUCUGC
rnacentral:misc_RNA from 1 species